rnacentral:rRNA from 1 species
GAUGAACGCUAGCGGCAGGCUUAACACAUGCAAGUCGAGGGGCAACACGGGUAGCAAUACCUGGUGGCGACCGGCGCAAGGGUGCGUAACGCGUGAGCAACAUGCCCUAUACAGGGGGAUAACCCGGAGAAAUUCGGACUAAUAUCCCGUAAUAAUAUCCGGAGGCAUCUUUGGAUAUUUAAAGUUCCGACGGUACGGGAUGGGCAUGCGUAACAUUAACUGGUUGGUAAGGUAACGGCUUACCAAGGCUAUGAUGUUUAGGGGUCCUGAGAGGGUGGUCCCCCACACUGGUACUGAAACACGGACCAGACUCCUACGGGAGGCAGCAGUGAGGAAUAUUGGUCAAUGGGCGCAAGCCUGAACCAGCCAUCCCGCGUGCAGGAAGACGGCCCUAUGGGUUGUAAACUGCUUUUCCAGGGAGAGAAACUUACGCACGUGUUGCGUGACUGACGGUACCCUGGGAAUAAGCAUCGGCUAACUCCGUG